rnacentral:rRNA from 1 species
AAAGGUCAGGUAAUACGUGAUGUGGUGAUUUGCCGUGGCAAAUCACUAAAGAUUUAUCGCUUCUGGAUGGGGUUGCGUUCCAUCAGCUAGUUGGUGGGGUAAAGGCCUACCAAGGCGACGACGGAUAGCCGGCCUGAGAGGGUGGCCGGCCACAGGGGCACUGAGACACGGGUCCCACUCCUACGGGAGGCAGCAGUUAGGAAUCUUCCACAAUGGGCGCAAGCCUGAUGGAGCGACGCCGCGUGAGGGAUGAAGGUUUUCGGAUCGUAAACCUCUGAAUCUGGGACGAAAGAGCCUUCGGGCAGAUGACGGUACCAGA